CACAUUGAGAGGAAAUGGAGUUUCAAAUGGCGAGCACUGGUAGUUACCUGACAGGCAUACAGACGAGGAGGCACACAAAGACUUCACUCUCUCUACACCUCUGAUGAAUAUAACAGGAAACCUGUUCAAUUACCACGCACUGCUAAAUCAUUCUGGCUAUGGAUACGGAGAACAUCAACAAAUGAUCAUCAACAUGCCAGAGGACAUACUCAUUGG